GAGAAGUUCCAACAGGACCUGACCCUCUUCAUCAUAACAACAACCCUUUUGAACCAUGAGUGUUUCAUUUUCAUGAAAUUAUUAGCACUAUAACUAUUUAAUUUUCCUAUAGUACAUUUUGAUUUAUGGUUCAAUAUUAUUAUAUCAUGUAGUAUUAUUCAGUACUUAAGAUUUUGUAAUUUAUAUAUGAGCUUUUACAUUUGGGAUAUAUAUAUAUAUUUUUUUUUAAUGCA
rnacentral:lncRNA from 1 species